UUUUUUUUUAUAGAAAACCUAGAUUUAUUUGUUAAAGUAUUACAAAGACAAAACAAUUAUCAUUGAAGUACUGUGAGGACUUCAUCCCAAUUUCAUUUGUUAUGGAAACUGACCUAAGAGGUUAGAAAUUAAAGGCUAUAACCUAAGAGGUUAUAACAAAACAGACUGGUGAAACAUGGUGAAAGAAGUAAAAGCUGAUCAGAAGCAUCCAUAUUAGUGGUAUUUCAUGUGGCUAGGAUAUUUCCCAAGAGGCUCUCUAAAGAUGCCUAAAUGAGCUAACCUGGAUCCCAAAUUAGUAAAAAGACCCUAAUCCCUGUGAAGAACAAGCAGUGGCCAGGAUUUCUCUGAGAUCUCUUUGUCUUUCUUUUUAAGGGGUAAGGGAAUCCUUAGGCUCUAAAGGAUAUAUCUUAGAUUCAGCCUCCUUCCUUCCCAUCCAGUCUACCUAUGUCUUCAAGCACCUGCGCAUUCUCACCACAUAGGCCUGCCAGGUUACAGAAGAUGCAUAUAGUGAAAGCAGGAACUAUAGGCCUUCUCAGAGGAUACCUAUACACAAAAGUUUUGGGUAGAUGAUAAACUACAAAUACCCUCUUGGUUAAGUUAAUUCACCUUUGUUAAUAAAGGUCAUAGUUUCUUCUGCUGGUGACAACUUUUUGUCUCAGUAUACAGUCUGUCUCAAAAAAAGAACUGGUUCAGGUAAAUUUUGGAGAAGGAAAAAGACUUUCAUCAACACCCACUCCACAGUAGAAGAGGCACCAAGUUCUUUAGUCCUUUCCUAGUUAUGAGCAGAAUCCCACAGCAGCAUAAAUCAUCUUCAGUGAUCAACAUCUGUAUCCUCAAACUGUCCAGCAACUGUUGGUGUAGUGUCUACCUCCAUCCCAUCUUCAUAAUCUCUGAUUGAAUCUUCUGUCCGGACUCCAGCCAUGUUAUAUUGGCUGCUCACAGACUGAGAAAGCAUUCCUUCUAAUCUCUCCAAGGUGGCUUGGCCUUCUGCUGUUAAAUGGGAUAAUCCUCCUUCAUAGGUAUAAAAUGUAGGGAUGUCCCCCUGCCCUUGUUCAUGUGCUUCCACAUCAUAUUCUUCUCCAUCGUAAUCAUCUGAAUCUUCAUCCUCAGGAUCAGGAUGCAAAGCCUGGCAUUCACACAUUGCAGUGAACAUUGCCUCCAAUGCUGAUUUAUCACUAGGCACAAAUCUAAAUUCAGCAAUAGGUUCAACAUCAUCAUCACUGUCUUCUUCUUCUUCAGCAACAGAUUCUUUUGAUUCUUGUCCAAAUUUAGCAUUCACCAUAACAUACAAAUGCUCUCGUGGAUAGGCAUUUAGGUCCCUGGACACCGCAUGCAAGCUAAUGGUGGGGUAUUCCAGUGAGAAUCCUAAUCCAGAGCCAUCUAACCAAGACAGGCAGCUCUCCGUGAUGUAGAGCAAGCCGGUGCCGAGGCCCUUGCCGUUCAGCACAGCCUCGGUCUUGGUCUCAGGCUGCUGCUGCCGAAGCCCCUCGGCCGAGCCGGUGGCAGAAAACUUUUGAGGAAGCUCAUUGCAGCAGGGAGCGCGGAGACACAGGCCAGGAGGGAGCUGCAGCGCGGC
rnacentral:lncRNA from 1 species